GUGAGAUUUCUAUGGUAACCAUACUCCAUCUAAGUUUCCACGGCGGUCGACCAUCUUUCGGAUCCCAAUCGAGCUCCCGCGAGAGCCGAACUUCUACUACGAACGGUCUACUCCGAACCCCUACAGCGGGCUGUCUAUCCCAGACAUCUAUUGUAAGCAAAUUUUAUUCAAGCCUCUACUGUAAACAAAUUUUCUCCAAACUUCUAUUACAGGUAGACUUCAGUCGAGCUACUUCUCUGGUGAAUGGAUUCCAGACGAGCUCCAGCAGCUGGGUCCCUGCGAUAGUCGAUUGCCUCCGAAGUCUACCGAGCCUCCCCAGCGCUAUCCGAAGUCCAUCACUGGCCGACCUCCUACCAGGCUUCCCAUAAAACCAGACUUUCCCGACGAACGAUCUUCGGAUGAGCUUCCACAUCAGAUAAAUCCCAGAUGAACUUCUCUAGCGAUCGGACUUCCCCGGACUUCGCCAACAGAAAAUCUCUGUCCGAGCUCCUACAGCAGGUGACUUUCGCCUGAGAUGUCAGCGCCUGAAGCAUCCGACAAUAGUAGAUUCGUCAGCGACCUCAAAACAUCCGAGCCUCUCCUAGAAUGACGAUGUAAAGGGCCAUUCUGCUCCAUCAGGCAUCCCAGCCGAGCUUCAGCCGAUGGAUCCAAGCUCUCUGGCAAGCCACAACAAGGGCCACUACCUUGCUCCACUCGCUGCA
rnacentral:lncRNA from 1 species